ACUUCUUUAGUACAACUAAUACUAAUGACUUCCAAUCAUUCUAUCUUGGUUAAAUUCCAAGAAGAAGUA
rnacentral:tRNA from 1 species